rnacentral:rRNA from 1 species
GCCUUACACAUGCAAGUCGAACGGUAACGCGGGGCAACCUGGCGACGAGUGGCGAACGGGUGAGUAAUGCAUCGGAACGUGCCCAGUAGUGGGGGAUAGCCCGGCGAAAGCCGGAUUAAUACCGCAUACGACCUACGGGUGAAAGCGGGGGAUCGCAAGACCUCGCGCUAUUGGAGCGGCCGAUGUCAGAUUAGGUAGUUGGUGGGGUAAAGGCCCACCAAGCCUACGAUCUGUAGCUGGUCUGAGAGGACGACCAGCCACACUGGGACUGAGACACGGCCCAGACUCCUACGGGAGGCAGCAGUGGGGAAUUUUGGACAAUGGGCGCAAGCCUGAUCCAGCCAUGCCGCGUGCGGGAAGAAGGCCUUCGGGUUGUAAACCGCUUUUGUCGGGGAAGAAAUCUUCUGGGCUAAUACCUCGGGAGGAUGACGGUACCCGAAGAAUAAGCACCGGCUAACUACGUGCCAGCAGCCGCGGUAAUACGUAGGGUGCAAGCGUUAAUCGGAAUUACUGGGCGUAAAGCGUGCGCAGGCGGUCUUGCAAGACAGAUGUGAAAUCCCCGGGCUUAACCUGGGAACUGCAUUUGUGACUGCAAGGCUGGAGUGCGGCAGAGGGGGAUGGAAUUCCGCGUGUAGCAGUGAAAUGCGUAGAUAUGCGGAGGAACACCGAUGGCGAAGGCAAUCCCCUGGGCCUGCACUGACGCUCAUGCACGAAAGCGUGGGGAGCAAACAGGAUUAGAUACCCUGGUAGUCCACGCCCUAAACGAUGUCAACUGGUUGUUGGGAGGGUUUCUUCUCAGUAACGUAGCUAACGCGUGAAGUUGACCGCCUGGGGAGUACGGCCGCAAGG